UACAGAGGAGCCAAGCGUUGUCCGGAUUGACUGGGCGUAAAGCGCACGCAGGCGGACGCGCGCGUGGGGUGUGAAAUCUGGCCGCUUAACGGCCAGGCGCCAUCCCAUACGGCGGGUCUGGAGUGAUGCAGAGGGCGGUGGAAUUGCCGGUGUAGUGGUGAAAUGCGUAGAUAUCGGGAGGAACACCAGUGGCGAAGGCGGUUGCCUGGAGCUUUGCUGACGCUGAGGCGCGAAAGCGUGGGGAGCGAUCCGG
rnacentral:rRNA from 1 species